rfam:Fictibacillus phosphorivorans strain G25-29, complete genome.
AAAAAUCUGCGAUGUUCGUGGCUUUUCCAUGUCUUUAACCUAUGUGCUAAUGACGGGAAUCCAAUAUGAUCUGUCAGACAGUCAAGCCUUGCUUUCGACUUGGAAGGCUGUAACGUCAGCUGCGGAUACCCACCUGAGAGAUCAGGUUCCAAAGGCAUAUAAAGUCACGGCAGAGCGGAUUUUAC